UACGUAGGGUGCGAGCGUUGUCCGGAAUUACUGGGCGUAAAGAGCUCGUAGGUGGUUUGUCGCGUUGUCCGUGAAAACUCACAACUCAAUUGUGGGCGUGCGGGCGAUACGGGCAGACUGGAGUACUGCAGGGGAGACUGGAGUUCCUGGUGUAGCGGUGAAAUGCGCAGAUAUCAGGAGGAACACCGGUGGCGAAGGCGGGUCUCUGGGCCGAUACUGACGCUGAGGAGCGAAAGCGUGGGGAGCAAACAGG
rnacentral:rRNA from 1 species